rfam:Aedes albopictus isolate Foshan contig93092, whole genome shotgun sequence.
UGUUCUGUGGCUUAGUUGGUUAAAGCGCCGGUCUAGCGAAUACGGAGUCGUGGGUUCGAACCCCACCAGAACGU